rnacentral:rRNA from 1 species
CACUGAUUAAUUAAAUGGCCGCAGUAUUUUAACUGUGCAAAGGUAGCAUAAUCAUUAGUUUUUUAAUUGAGGACUGGAAUGAAUGAUUGGACGAGGUACAAACUGUCUUUUAUUUUAUAAUUAUAAUUUUAUUUUUUAGUUAAAAAGCUAAAAUUUUAUUGAAAGACGAGAAGACCCUAUAGAUCUUUAUUAUUAUAAUAUAUAAUAAUUUUAAGUUAAUUUUUUUAUUUUUGUUUAUAAUAAUUUUAUUGGGGUGAUAUUGAAAUUUAAUUAACUUUUGAUUAUUUUUGUACCAUUAAUUAUUGAUUAAAUGAUCCUUUUUUAUGGAUUAUAAAAUUAAGUUACCUUAGGGAUAACAGCGUAAUUAUUUUGGAGAGUUCAAAUCGAUAAAAUAGAUUGCGACCUCGAUGUUGGAUUAAGAUAAAUUUUGGGUGCAGCAAUUCAAUAUAUUAAGUCUGUUCGACUUUUAAUUUCUUACAUGAU